ACUCGCUGUCACUAACACGGAUCUGAAACAAGCAAGGCAACUACAAGUUUACAAAUUUGCAUCAUUUGUUUAUAGCAUAAGGCUAUCUCCAGCAGAUCCCAUAUCACAUCCCUUAUUUCAAACUUCUCUUUGCAAACAAUGUCAUAUACAGUUCCAUGUCCCCUAUUUUACACACUACUGGAGACAGUCUAAGAUACAAGAACAGAUAGAGAGGAAAAUAAUACGCAUCAAACACAUAACAUUUCAAACAAAACCUUGCAAGCCCCAUUUAGAACAAAAGGGAUUAAUACUCAGCCAGUUACAAAAGUAGAUGUUUUCAUCACUUUGGAAUAUGUGUGGUAAAACUUUUUGCAAUUUGUGUGCGAAAACGCAUUAGCCACAGUUUUCACUAAAAUUACUUGUACCAAAAUAUAAAAUGCCUACAGGAACAUAUAAUUAAUACUUAUUGAGCUUUCAGUGAAGAUGGAUCAAGGUCUUUGGUUAUAGGAUUAGAGAUAGAAGGAAAAGAAUCGCAGAUUUGACGUUUGAUGAAGGUUGCACCAUUAAAAGUGAUAAAGUAACAUCAUCAUACCACAAAAGGAUGAACAGUUGCAAA
rnacentral:misc_RNA from 1 species